AGUGAACGCUGGCGGUAGGCCUAACACAUGCAAGUCGAACGGCAGCACAGUAAGAGCUUGCUCUUACGGGUGGCGAGUGGCGGACGGGUGAGGAAUACAUCGGAAUCUACUUUUUCGUGGGGGAUAACGUAGGGAAACUUACGCUAAUACCGCAUACGACCUACGGGUGAAAGUAGGGGAUCUUCGGACCUUGCGCGAUUGAAUGAGCCGAUGUCGGAUUAGCUAGUUGGCGGGGUAAAGGCCCACCAAGGCGACGAUCCGUAGCUGGUCUGAGAGGAUGAUCAGCCACACUGUAACUGAGACACGGUCCAGACUCCUACGGGAGGCAGCAGUGGGGAAUAUUGGACAAUGGGCGCAAGCCUGAUCCAGCCAUACCGCGUGGGUGAAGAAGGCCUUCGGGUUGUAAAGCCCUUUUGUUGGGAAAGAAAAGCAGCAGGUUAAUACCCCGCUGUUCUGACGGUACCCAAAGAAUAAGCACCGGCUAACCUCGUG
rnacentral:rRNA from 1 species